rnacentral:rRNA from 1 species
UNUGACUUGAGUGCAGAAGGGGAGAGUGGAAUUCCAUGUGUAGCGGUGAAAUGCGUAGAUAUAUGGAGGAGCACCAGUGGCGAAAGCGGCUCUCUGNUCUGUCACUGACGCUGAGGCUNGAAAGCGUGGGUAGCGAACAGGAUUAGAUACCCUGGUAGUNCACGCCGUAAACGAUGAGUGCUAGGUGUUAGGCCCUUUCCGGGGCUUAGUGCCGGAGCUAACGCAAUAAGCACUCCGCCUGGGGAGUACGACCGCAAGGUUGAAACUCAAAGGAAUUGACGGGGGCCCGCACAAGCGGUGGAGCAUGUGGUUUAAUUCGAAGCAACGCGAAGAACCUUACCAGGUCUUGACAUCCCGAUGCUAUUCUUAGAGAUAGGAAGUUACUUCGGUACAUCGGAGACAGGUGGUGCAUGGUUGUCGUCAGCUCGUGUCGUGAGAUGUUGGGUUAAGUCCCGCAACGAGCGCAACCCUUAUUGUUAGUUGCCAUCAUUAAGUUGGGCGCUCUAGCGAGACUGCCGGUAAUAAACCGGAGGAAGGUGGGGAUGACGUCAAAUCAUCAUGCCCCUUAUGACCUGGGCUACACACGUGCUACAAUGGUCGGUACAACGAGUUGCGAGCCGGUGACGGCAAGCCAAUCUCUGAAAGCCGAUCUCAGUUCGGAUUGGAGGCUGCAACUCGCCUCCAUGAAGUCGGAAUCGCUAGUAAUCGCGGAUCAGCACGCCGCGGUGAAUACGUUCCCGGGCCUUGUACACANCGCCCGUCACACCACGAGAGUUUGUAACACCCGAA